GACGAACGCUGGCGGCGUGCCUAAUACAUGCAAGUAGAACGCUGAAGCUUGGUGCUUGCACCGAGCGGAUGAGUUGCGAACGGGUGAGUAACGCGUAGGUAACCUGCCUGGUAGCGGGGGAUAACUAUUGGAAACGAUAGCUAAUACCGCAUAAAAUGGAUUAUCGCAUGAUAAUCGAUUGAAAGGUGCAAAUGCAUCACUACCAGAUGGACCUGCGUUGUAUUAGCUAGUUGGUGGGGUAACGGCUCACCAAGGCGACGAUACAUAGCCGACCUGAGAGGGUGAUCGGCCACACUGGGACUGAGACACGGCCCAGACUCCUACGGGAGGCAGCAGUAGGGAAUCUUCGGCAAUGGACGGAAGUCUGACCGAGCAACGCCGCGUGAGUGAAGAAGGUUUUCGGAUCGUAAAGCUCUGUUGUAAGAGAAGAACGAGUGUGAGAGUGGAAAGUUCACACUGUGACGGUAUCUUACCAGAAAGGGACGGCUAACUACGUGCCAGCAGCCGCGGUAAUACGUAGGUCCCGAGCGUUGUCCGGAUUUAUUGGGCGUAAAGCGAGCGCAGGCGGUUAGAUAAGUCUGAAGUUAAAGGCUGUGGCUUAACCAUAGUACGCUUUGGAAACUGUUUAACUUGAGUGCAAGAGGGGAGAGUGGAAUUCCAUGUGUAGCGGUGAAAUGCGUAGAUAUAUGGAGGAACACCGGUGGCGAAAGCGGCUCUCUGGCNUNUAACUGACGCUGAGGCUCGAAAGCGUGGGGAGCAAACAGG
rnacentral:rRNA from 1 species